UACGGAGGGUGCAAGCGUUUAUCCGGAUUUACUGGGUUUAAAGGGUGCGUAGGCGGCGCGGUAAGUCGGGUGUGAAAUCUCGGAGCUUAACUCCGAAACUGCAUUCGAUACUGCCGUGCUUGAGGACUGGAGAGGAGACUGGAAUUUACCGUGUAGCGGUGAAAUGCGCAGAUAUCAGGAGGAACACCGAUUGCGAAGGCAGCUCGCUGGGACGUCACUGACGCUGAGACGCGAAAGCGUGGGGAGCAAACAGG
rnacentral:rRNA from 1 species